GUGGGGAAUCUUAGACAAUGGGGGAAACCCUGAUCUAGCCAUGCCGCGUGAGCGAUGAAGGCCUUAGGGUUGUAAAGCUCUUUCAGCUGGGAAGAUAAUGACGGUACCAGCAGAAGAAGCCCCGGCUAACUCCGUGCCAGCAGCCGCGGUAAUACGGAGGGGGCUAGCGUUGUUCGGAAUUACUGGGCGUAACGCGCGCGUAGGCGGACCAGAAAGUUGGAGGUGAAAUCCCAGGGCUCAACCUUGGAACUGCCUUCAAAACUCCUGGUCUGGAGUUCGAGAGAGGUGAGUGGAAUUCCGAGUGUAGAGGUGAAAUUCGUAGAUAUUCGGAGGAACACCAGUGGCGAAGGCGGCUCACUGGCUCGAUACUGACGCUGAGGUGCGAAAGCGUGGGGAGCAAACAGGAUUAGAUACCCCUGUAGUCC
rnacentral:rRNA from 1 species